AGGGUUCGAUUCUGGCUCAGGAUGAACGCUGGCGGCGUGCUUAACACAUGCAAGUCGAACGAAGCACUUAAGAAGAUUUCUUCGGAUUGAAUCUUUGUGACUAGUGGCGGACGGGUGAGUAACGCGUGGGCAACCUGCCUCUGUCUGGGGGAUAACAGUUAGAAAUGACUGCUAAUACCGCAUAAGCGCACAUUACCGCAUGGUAGAGUGUGAAAAACGUUAGUGGACAGAGAUGGACCCGCGUUAGAUUAGCCAGUUGGUGGGGUAACGGCCUACCAAAGCGACGAUCUAUAGCCGGCCUGAGAGGGCGACCGGCCACAUUGGGACUGAGACACGGCCCAAACUCCUACGGGAGGCAGCAGUGGGGAAUAUUGCACAAUGGGGGAAACCCUGAUGCAAGCGACGCCGCGUGAGUGAAGAAGUAUUUCGGUAUGUAAAGCUCUAUCAGCAGGGAAGAAAAUGACGGUACCUGACUAAGAAGCCCCGGCUAACUACGUGCCAGCAGCGGC
rnacentral:rRNA from 1 species